rnacentral:rRNA from 1 species
CCCUUAGAUGCUCUGGGCCGCACGCGCGCUACACUGGUCGAUGCAACGAGUUUCUUUCCUUGGCCGACAGGCCUGGGCAAUCUUUGAACAUCGAUCGUGAUCGGGAUAGAUUCUUGUAAUUUUUGAUCUUAAACGAGGAAUUCCUAGUAAACGCAAGUCAUCAGCUUGCAUUGAUUACGUCCCUGCCCUUUGUACACACCGCCCGUCGCACCUACCGAUUGAAUGGUCCGGCGAAAUCUCCGGACUGGCGUGAGUCGGAGCAAUCUGACAAACACCGGAAAGUUGAUUAAACCUUACCAUUUAGAGGAAGGUGAAGUCGUAACA